rnacentral:rRNA from 1 species
AUUGAACGCUGGCGGCAUGCCUAACACAUGCAAGUCGAACGGCAGCACGGCAGUAGCAAUACUGUGGGUGGCGAGUGGCGGACGGGUGAGGAAUACGUCGGAAUCUGCCCCAGUCGUGGGGGAGUAACUAGCCGAAGGUUAGCUAUACGCAUACGACCGAGAGGUGAAAGCGGGGGACCGGCAAGGCCUCGCGCGAUUGGAUGAGCCGACGUCGGAUUAGCUAGUUGGUGGGGUAAAGGGCCCACCAAGGCGACGAUCCGUAGCUGGUCUGAGAGGAUGAUCAGCCACACUGGAACUGAGACACGGUCCAGACUCCUACGGGAGGCAGCAGUGGGGGAAUAUUGGACAAUGGGCGGCAAGCCUGAUCCAGCAAUGCCGCGUGUGUGAAGAAGGCC